GGUGCGGGAACUCUCCGGUCUGGCCUCGCCGCCGGCCGCCUGAAGAGGGUGCACAGCGGUGGGAGCCGCCGUCGCCGCUGUCACCGAGCUGCUGUCGCCGCCGCCGCUGCCGGUUGUGCGUGAGCUUGUGAUGAAGAUAUUUGAGAGAGACUGUGCAGAGCAGAAAUUAAUCAGAGCAGAGAGCAGUCUGAAUCUAGCUGUCUUUUGCAUUGUGUUCAAACCUCGAGUCGGACACUGAGUGAGAAUUUCUCAAAUUACAGAAUAUUGGGAACAGAACAAGUUUCCAGAAGGAGGAAAAGAGGACAAGAGUAACAUCCAUCUUGCCAGGGGGGUAGCAGUGUUCAUUGCUCCCCUUUGUGUCUGUGGCCUCUCUGUGCCAGCGCAACGCACGAGGUUGCUCUCAGGAGAGUGCUCCCCAGCAGCCCCUGCUCACCAUGGCCCCAGGAGUGAAUCCUCUGAUGCUCUUCACCCCUGGGAUUAUCCGUGCCCAGUUUCUGCACCAGACCUCCACUGUGGUGGGUCUGAGAUGAAGCUGGCUUCUCCCAUCUGAGAUCCUCCUGCCCCCGAGGCAUGGCUCAGCCCCCGAGGCACAGUGUUCUCCAGCCGUCUUCCCUGUGACCCUCUACCGUAUGGGCCCCGGGUCCAAGGAUUAGGCUUCUGGGCCUGUUUGUCUGCGUAGCUCUCAUGUUUCCAUUGGAGAUGUAGCUCCACCACCCAGUCCCGUUCACCAAAAUGUCCCCAUCAAUCUCUGACGUCCACAUUGCUGUCUGCACGGGACAUAGCUGGUUUCUCAUUCACUGACACCUUGCCUUACACGGAGGGCCCCAAUCCUUGACAAGAGUGGUUGCAUGAAUUGCAGACCACCACCAUCCUGGAUUCUCUCUUUA